UCCAGCUGCAGCUGACUGACUCUGUGUGUUUGCAUAUGUGUCCUGCCUCUCUGCUCCCAGCCGUUAAGAGGCCAGUGUUGAUCAGUGGCUGUCCAGGCCUUUCAGAGCCACUGACACGCCGGCAGCACAAUGAUGAUGUCACUGACUCUACUGCUGGCCACCCUGGGGCUCCUUGUUCAGGGUUCAUCAGGAGAAAUCAUCCUGACUCAGUCUCCUGGAUCUCAGUCUGUUCUUCCAGGACAGUCUGUCAACGUUAAAUGUAAAGCCAGUGAAUAUGCUGGUCAGAGCUCUAUGCACUGGUACCUUCAGAAACCUGGAGAAGCUCCUAAACUCCUGAUUUAUUUUGUUUCAUCUCGUCAGUCUGGAGUUUCAGAUCGUUUCAGUGGAAGUGGAUCUGGUACUGACUUCACUUUGACAAUCAGUAGAGUUCAGACUGAAGAUUCAGGAGUUUAUUAUUGUCAGCAGAGUUACAGCUCGUUCACACAGUGA